rnacentral:rRNA from 1 species
AAUAGCUCACUGGUCAAGCGGGCCUGCACCGAAAAUAUAACGGGGCUCAAGCCAUGCGCCGAAGCUGCGGAUUGUCUCUUAGGAGACAGUGGUAGGGGAGCGUUCCCCGUGCGGCGAAGCUGUGGUGGAAACCAUGGUGGAGCGCGGGGAAGUGAGGAUGUUGGCAUGAGUAACGAAAAUGCGGGCGAGAAACCCGCACGCCGAAAGUCCAAGGGUUCCUGGGCCAGGUUAAUCNNNNNNNNNNGGCACCUAAGGCGAGGCCGAAAGGCGUAGUCGAAGGAAAACCGGUUCAUAUUCCGGUACUUGCGGUGACGCGUGAUGGAGGGACGCAGGAGGAUAGGUCGGCCGGGUGAUGGAUGUCCCGGUUUAAGACGGUAGCCGGAAGCUUCAGGUAAAUCCGGAGCUUCAACGGCGAGAGUCGAUGACGAGAGGCUUUGCCUCACAAAGCGAUUGAUUCCACACUGCCAAGAAAAGCUUCUAAGCAUAGCCAAGGCGAACCGUACCCCAAACCGACACAGGUGGACAGGUAGAGAAUACCAAGGCGCUUGAGAGAAACCAUGUUAAGGAACUCUGCAAAUUAACUCCGUACCUUUGGAAGAAGGAGUGCCCACAAAGUGAAGGGGCUUGCCCCUGGAGCUUAGCUGGGUCGCAGUGACCAGGCCUGGCCGACUGUUUAGCAAAAACAUAGCACUCUGCAAACUAGAAAGAGGAAGUAUAUGGUGUGACGCCUGAACG